GAUAGUUUGGCAUGCCAAUAGGGUCCAGUUAGCAGUACUGCACAUGGCAAUAUGCCAUUCCGUGAUUUUAUGGCUUUUAGCCAUUUUGAAAUUAUGGUGAUACUUGGUCUUGUGCCUAAUAUUUAUUACAGCUUAUUAGUUGUUCUGUUGCACACCAGGAGAUACAUAUGUGACCGAUGGUAUGACGGCCCGAGGUACUUGAUAUCCAGUGUCGG
rnacentral:misc_RNA from 1 species